UCAAAUUCAGUUGAGCCGAAGAAAUCAAUCUGCCCUAAUUUUGCGUUUACCCCCUUAUCACAAUCAGGUAAUAAAUCUCUCCUGUAUCGAAAUUUCUUAAAUUUGGAAAAUAACAGACGAAUUUGUUUUACUUCUGACUCGGUUUGAAUUUAGGGUUCGUUUUGUUUAGUGUUUUCUUGUUCGAAUUGGAUUCCUGUUGCUUGAUUGGGUAGGUCUGAAUUGUAUAGAAGUCAGAAAAAGGAGUGAUUUUUAUGUGUGAAUUGCAGAGGACUAUUGAUAUUGUAGGAGGAACUGCAAUGGUAGAGGGCAAAUAUAAACCUAGGAAGGAGUGAGAAUCGAAGAGGAUAAGUGGUUUUCAAGAUAGAGAGGGCGAAAAGGAGAGGAAAUGGGAGGAGGAGGCGUUAUAGUGGGGAAGAUAGAAAUACGAGAGAUUGUGAUAGUUGUUCCGUGAGAGACAAGUUUUGUGAUUGUUCUGAGGACGAGAGGUACAAUGUAGAGAAGCGGCAUUGAGGAGAUAGGGAGAGAGAUAGUCAUAGAAGGACUAGAGAUAAGGAGAGUGAUAGGAAACGGUGUAAGAAAGAUCACAAGGAUAACGUAAAGAGAAAGUGAGAAAGGAGUAGCAGCAGGUCAGAUAGACAUAGGGAUGAUGGAGUUGAGAGGCUGAUCACGAAGAGUGAUGAAGAUUAUUCAGUUAAGAAAGAGAGGAAACGAACAUGCGAGGUUGUGGAGGAGGAGUUAAGAGGAUCAACAGAGGAAUUGGAUGAGGAAAUGGAAAAGCGGAGGACAAGACCACUAGUCAUGCAUUAUCACUUCCUGGUGGCGCUCAACAACACAGAUAUUAAGUUAUAUAAGUGAGAACUCAAUUCCAACCAACUUUAGGUAUCUGCUUAUGCUGGACUGAAUCUGACUCUCAGUUCCUAUUUUAUUUUUCUCGGUCUCCUGAUGAGUUUCCGUAAUGAAUUAUUCCAGUUACUGGAUUUUUUUGUGUUUGCCCAUGCCGUAUCUAUCAUGUUGAUCUUUAAUGGUCAACUUGUAUGAGAGCCUUCUUUGUUGAACUCGACAUGAAAUUUCAGUAAUCUUAUCAUUGUUUUCAAUUGUUUAAAUAGUAUGAAUUUAUUUUGUCUUGCUUUAUACAAUUUUCAGUCCUGCUUUUGAUGCUUUUCUCUAUUUUUUUCUGUCAUUUCCCCUGGUGCAAGGGACAUUAGGUACAUAGGCUCGCUUAUUCAACGUUGUCUACGCCUUUACGAAGCUGUGCAAUUCUUCAUUUUAAAGGGAUGUUUAAGCUGCCGCCUUUCUUGUGGAGACGAUCUUAUAAUGUAGACAGUUGGUGACCAAUGCAUUAAUGCUAUACUGAUCUCGUGCCCAAGCUUGGCAGCAGAAUAUAUCACGGGACUGAAACUUUUGCGUUUCAACCGUCAAGAAUCUUUUUGGGAAGCUGUUAACUGGCUUUAUAGGGACUGUUUUUAGAUAUCUUCACGAAUUUUUGCAAAAACCCAAAAACAAUUCGAAGUGUAAAAAUGUAAUGUGAAGUUUGUAAUUACGAAUGAUUAAGAAAUUGUGUUCUUGUUCAUACCGGUGGAGAUUCCAAAAUUCCCACUGUGUAUGAAAAAAAAACCUAAUUGGUACGGGGACGGGAGAAGAUUAA